GGAUGGUCUGUGAGAGCAGCAGCAUGGCCGCCUUCGUCUCAGUGAGUAAUCUUCAUUUUAUUCCAUCUGUUUUGUGUAUUUUGUGUCUUCGAUCAUCGAGAGCUUUUUCUCUGUUUGUUUUUUUCUUUCUUCAUAUUUAGAACAAAGAGUCUGAUAUUUGAUCCUGUCACUUUUUAAUCAGGAGCUUUUCUUAUCUCACUGAUUUUCAGCAAAUAAAAAAGCAAAGUAAGUAAGUUUAAGUUUUAGUAACAUUUCAUUUAUUAAAAGGAAAAUAAAUUCAAGCUCUGGAAGUUUUAUGUUAGUCGACGCUUUUUGGAGAUGAUUUUUGUACGUUGCUGAGAAACUUUUAGAAAGUGAAGAAAAUGUUUCAGGAACAUUUUUUAUUUUUAUAUUUGUUUAAAGUUUUGGGCUUUUUAGAAAAAGAGGAGCUUUUUGAGAUGGGACGAGUUUAAUCUUUGAUCUCAAUUAAACUCACCAACAUGAAAUAGUUUUUACAGAAAGUAAUCCAGGUAAAAACAAAUCACUGAGACUCAGCAGCAGCUUCCUGGUUGUUUUUCUAACCACAUCAGGAUAAUGUGACGAUGCUCCACCUUUAAAUGGGUCUGACAGAUGCUGCUGCGAGGAAGCAGCCUGUAUCUGGUGGCCUCUGUGUGCUGCUGCUGGUAAACGAGGUCUAAUUAAAGCAGAAGUAGGUCUGUGGCGGCGGCGGCGGCUCCUGGGAGCCGUCCUGCAGACGGAGCGCUCGAUUUAGACCCAGCGUCCUCUGAGAUCAGCUGAUCCAGUCCGUCCUUCACAAACAUGUAGAUUAAACUUCCUUCCUUGAAACGCAGCGAGCUGUCCUGCUGCUCAGGGCGUGUGACCAGGGACUAUUUUCAGCAGCGGAAUAAUCCACGUUUGGUACGCGUUGUGUGACCAGUUAUCCAUCUGAAGGAUGUCCUCCUCUCGUUUCAGCUGGUAACAUGUCAGCACUGCCCCGUCACCUCCACCCGCCGCGGCCUCAUCUACAGAGACUCUCUCUCCGCUCUGUCUAGGAACCUCAGGGCCCCCGGGGGCCCCCGUCAGCCCCCGGGCCCCCGGCCGCAGGGCUUCGGCCUCCAAGGCGGACGCCGCUGCAGGCUCAACAGACCUGAGCUCCCAGAAUCCACUGCUCUGGCUCGCUCCAAGCAGUCUGGCAGCAUGAAGCACCUGGUCCUGGCUCACCUGAGGAGGAUGCUGACUCCGAGCCCCGCCCAGCAGCAGAGAGGCCUCCGCCUGCCAGGCUGACCUCUGACCCGCUGCUGGGACGCAGGAGGUGGUCCGGAGUCGCAGUGAGAGCUGCUGGACACCAGAGGGCGACAGAGGUUCAGACUGGGUCUGAGGUGGAGGAGAACUGGUGUGGUUGCCUUUCCCUUUUCCCUCACCUCCACCCAGCACCUGUGGGAGGAGGCCGGACUUACCGAACAUCCUCAUCCUCCGCAGGGAGGAAGAGCGCAGCAGCUGUCCACAAAGUUCUGAGCAGAAGCUCCUCAGCGUGGUGGGUCUGAGCCCCACGGCACUGUGGGUAAUGACUGCAGCUGCUCAAGACACAAUUUUCCUGCUGCAAAUGAACAAAAUGUUAAUUAUUUGUGUUUCAGAGAUUCAGCCGUCGCUGUGAUGGCUCAGAUCUGUGUGUGUCAAACUGUAUUUAUUAAACAGACUUUAGACAUUCAUGUUAAACUUAAGUAAACGAGUUGGAUUCAACAGUGUUUCUGUUUCCUGGAGUUACUUUAGGUUCUGUGAUCAGUGUUAGAUGAUUAUAGUGUGUAGCUGCAGAUCGGAGCAGCUGACUGUCUCGUGUCCUGCAGCAGGAGAAUGAACCCACAGCAGCCAAACAGCUGAUUGUGUUCAGGCUUCAAAGCUUUAUGGUGAGUUUGACACUGAACUGCAGAACCUCUGAAAUAAACCCACUUCCUGUUUCUCUGCGUCAUUGUUGAUUGUUUGCUGGGUAGUGUACAACCGCAGCUCUGAAAAAGUCAGGAUGCUGUCAAUCAAAGCCAGUGUCGUAAAGUCACAUUUGAUUCAAAUUAG
ensembl:lncRNA